UCACAUUUUUAUGGGAAUGGAGAUAUUUGUGAUAUAACUGACAAACCAAGACAGGUGACUGUAAAACUAAAGUUGAAUCUCCAGUGAUUUGCAAAAUCUUGGAUACAGCAGACGAACACGGACUUCUUUCUCUCCCCAACUGAUCAGGUUGGGGGCAAGAUAACAUCAUUGAAAGUCAUGAUGAUUUCUUGUUCUGGUGACCAUGUGUCUCGUUACAGAGUUCUCAGCCAUCUGGACCUCACUUAAAGGAUUGUAUCAAAGGACUCUCAACCACUUUGUGAGCAUCUGUGUGUAUAUAAGAGCUUAUUGAUAAAUUUCUAAGGCAGAAACUUGUGUCUUGUUUUUCAUUUUUCUGUGUCUUAUGAAAUGACCGUGGGUGUGUGUUUUCUUUGCUUGGAUAAUGUGAUUCCAGAAUAAAUCUCAUUCAAGCAAUUA